rnacentral:lncRNA from 1 species
GCUCUCUCCAUGGUGUGGUGUAGGCAGCUAGUUCUUUGCUUCUGAUAGCUGCAGAGUGGUCUGUAUUAGGCAUCUACCAUACUUUAUCCAUUCCCCUAGAGGAGACAGAUUGAAGAUGGGCUGUGAAGCCGAGUGUUUGCCUCUGCGGUUUUCCCUGUACCCAGUGGCUGCCACGUAACUCGAUGAUGGCCAAGGAUCACACGCAAGCUCUGCUGGGGAAGAACAGCUUCUGGGAGAGCACUUGCUUUCCUGAUGAAAGAGCACCUGAGCAGCUGGAUCUGCUGUCUUCCCUCUUCCCUCUUCUCCCCACCUUGGACGAGGACAUGAUCUUGGAGCUGAUGAAACCUUCCUCAGCCACGAAGAUGAUGGACAGGUUAAUGCUCUUAUCUGAGGGACCAGGCAAGGAUCCCAAUUCAGAUCACCUUCACCUCUGCCAGGUCCCCGCUGGUCCAAAUGAUGCCCGCCUGCAAAUGAGAAAGAGCCGCCCCUUCCUCAAGACACUCGACUGCCAUCUGCUGGAAACUUGGGAGAAAAUAGACAUAAAUCUCUGAUGACUGGGAAUGUGCAUCGAUCGUACCCCAAAGCUGUGUAAAGCACAACUGUCCCAUGGCAGCCGGCUCCUACCCCCACUUAUCCCUUCUCUUCUUUACAAAAUGCAGUCCCUCGCCCAUCAGUCUGGCCAUUGCAGUGACCAGGAAGCAGGGCUGCAGGACCAGAGAAGCCUACAUUGGAUUCAUCACUUACAGUCCAUAUGAUCUUGGAUUAGACACAUAACCUUUCUGGACCUUACUCUACCCAUAUGUAAAAUGGGAUCAUUAUCUACCCACCUCAUUGAGUCGUUAAGAGGAGCAAAUGAAAUAACAUACGGGAAAGUGUUUUAAAAAUGGAAUAAAGGUUUUACAG